UACGUAGGGGGGCAAGCGUUGUCCGGAAUCAUUGGGCGUAAAGAGCGCGUAGGCGGCCCUGUAAGUCCGCUGUGAAAGUCAAGGGCUCAACCCUUGAAUGCCGGUGGAUACUGCAGGGCUAGAGUCCGGAAGAGGCGAGUGGAAUUCCUGGUGUAGCGGUGAAAUGCGCAGAUAUCAGGAGGAACACCGAUGGCGAAGGCAGCUCGCUGGGACGGUACUGACGCUGGAGGCGCGAAAGCGUGGGGAGCGAACAGG
rnacentral:rRNA from 1 species